GUACUGCUAUUCGGAACUGAGAACCAAAUUUAGACGAUUACUAUGUUUCAUCGUACCUAAUCAAACCAACAGUGGUGAGAAAUCAACCGUUUUUGUGUUAGAGUCCUCUUCAAAUGGGUGAGAGUCCCUAUACGUGUUUUGUCUUUGUCAAGGAGAGGUUAGAGUCCUCUUCAAAAGGGUGAGAGUCCUAACACUUGGUUUGUCUUUGUCAAAGAGAGGUUAGAGUCUUCUUCAAAAAGGGUGAGAGUCCCUGUAGGCCUUUGUGUUUUGUGUUUAUAAAAAAGGAGAGGGUAAAAUCCACUCCAAGGGUUAGAGUCCCUGAACUUGUUUUGUGUAAAGGGUUAGAGUCCCUGAGGUUAAGUGUCCUCUAAAGUCCUAAAAGGGUUAGAGUCCCUGAACU